UGGGGAAUUUUGGACAAUGGGGGAAACCCUGAUCCAGCCAUUCCGCGUGAGUGAAGAAGGCCUUCGGGUUGUAAAGCUCUUUCGGCAGGAACGAAACGGUUUGGGCUAAUACCCCAGACUACUGACGGUACCUGAAGAAGAAGCACCGGCUAACUACGUGCCAGCAGCCGCGGUAAUACGUAGGGUGCGAGCGUUAAUCGGAUUUACUGGGCGUAAAGCAUGCGCAGGCGGCGGUUCAAGUCAGGUGUGAAAUCCCCGAGCUUAACUUGGGAAUUGCGCUUGAAACUAGAUCGCUAGAGUACGGCAGAGGGGGGUAGAAUUCCACGUGUAGCAGUGAAAUGCGUAGAGAUGUGGAGGAAUACCGGUGGCGAAGGCGGCAUCCUGGACCAUUACUGACGCUGAGGCGCGAAAGCUAGGGGAGCAAACGGGGAUUAGAUACCCAGGUAGUCCCUGAGCGGGCUGGCAAGGCGCAU
rnacentral:rRNA from 1 species